CCGGCGUCUAAGGUAGGCUUCCACUACAAUACCUUACUGAUGAGUCCAGUAGUGGAAGCCGGGACGAAACGCCAA
rnacentral:hammerhead_ribozyme from 15 species